rnacentral:lncRNA from 1 species
CUCCUUUGGAGAGAAGAGCUGAGAGAAAAUAUACUUUUUAAAAGUAAUUUAUUUAAGAAACUGUAUUUUCCUAAACUAUCUUUGUUCCAUUUAUGGCCUGCAUAGUUUACUCUACAGACAGGUGUCUAUUAAAUGAGAAGAGAAUUUUUGGGAAAAAAAAAUUCUUCAACUCCGAACUAUAUAAGCUCUGCUAAUGAGGGUGCUUGAAACACAGGAGUCAGAGAGUAGAUUCACUAGGGACUCGACUUCAUACUUACAGGCUUGAUGGGGGAAGGUGGUGUUUCACAUAAGUAAAAAACGUAAUACACAAUCCUUAAUGCAACUGUGGUGGACCAUGCUGAGAGCCUAUCCAACGCUUCCUUCUUCCUAAUGAUCCAUGAUUGGAUUUCUAUAUCCACAUCUCUCCCAGUGGUCAAUGCGCCUCAGGGUAAGCUGACUGUCCUGAGCUGCAAGGGUAGACCACAAUUAAUCUAAUCCAUUAUGUGAUGAAAAUGGAAGAUACCUGUAGUAGUACAGUGCUAUCUUAAACACCUUUUGUUUUCUGAGAGUAAUGCAUACUGCAGACAAGACGUUUUGU